rnacentral:rRNA from 1 species
GAUGAACGCUGGCGGCGUGCCUAAUACAUGCAAGUCUAGCGAACAGACGAGGAGCUUGCUCCUCUGACGUUAGCGGCGGACGGGUGAGUAACACGUGGAUAACCUACCUAUAAGACUGGGAUAACUUCGGGAAACCGGAGCUAAUACCGGAUAAUAUAUUGAACCGCAUGGUUCAAUAGUGAAAGACGGUUUUGCUGUCACUUAUAGAUGGAUCCGCGCCGCAUUAGCUAGUUGGUAAGGUAACGGCUUACCAAGGCAACGAUGCGUAGCCGACUGAGAGGGUGAUCGGCCACACUGGAACUGAGACACGGUCCAGACUCCUACGGGAGGCAGCAGUAGGGAAUCUUCCGCAAUGGGCGAAAGCCUGACGGAGCAACGCCGCGUGAGUGAUGAAGGUCUUCGGAUCGUAAAACUCUGUUAUUAGGGAAGAACAAAUGUGUAAGUAACUAUGCACGUCUUGACGGUACCUAAUCAGAAAGCCACGGCUAACUACGUG